AGCUAUUAAUAGUAUUUUAAUAUACACAUAUAUGUAAAUACUUUUUUUUUUUUUUUUUUUUUUAAAUUUUAUUUUAUAUUAUAACUUUUUAAUUUGACACAUGACUUAUAUUCAUGUGUAUGCUGAUUCUUUAAAUAUGAAAAUUCAUAAUACAAAAUUAUUGGAAUGUAUUAAUAUAUAUAUAUAUAUAUAUAUUUUUUUUUCUCUUUUCAUAUAUCAUAAAUAUAUUUUAAUUUUUUACACAGGGAUUGCAUUUUUUAUACUUAAUUUUUUUUUUUAUUUAUUUAACUUUUAAUUUUUUUCAUUAGUAUUUUUAUUUAUAUUACAUUAUUUUGUUUGUACUAACUUUAUUUGUAACCGAUUUUUACUGUUCAUAUAUAUUAUAUAUUGCAUCUUAUUUAUCGCCAUCCCAUUUAAUUUUAAUUCUCUUAUAAAUACAUAUAAAUAUAUAUAUAUAUAUAUAUAUAUAUAUAUGUAUAUAUUUU